UACAUCUGAAGUGACAAAGACAAAAACUGUAUCAACAACAAUGGCAGAAAUCAUUAGGGAAAAUGAACCACAUCAUCUUUCUACAUUUUUCUACCGCACAAAAAUACCAUAAACAUUGUUUGUCAAGACUGGGCAUGCAGUGGUUAACUGCAGAGGCUUCUGCAGAUAGUGUGUUAUGUGCCUGCCUGACCUCAAUGGUUUCCUAACACAGGAGCUUGUUACACUAUUCAUUCCAUCUGUGUAUACAUGUGAAAUUUUCCUAAGUUUUUAAAUCACUAAAAUAAAAUGAAAUUGAAACACAAAUGAAAAACUGGAAAAAUACAUUUUCUGCAUAUGUGAAGAGUUACUGUAAAUAAUUAUUUUAUUGUAGGGUAUUACAAGUCAAAUCCAAACAUUUAAGAGAAAAAUCAGUAGAGAUUAACUAGCAAUACAUUAACAAAUACAAGUAACCAUUAAACAUGUUAGCCUCACUAGUAAUCAAAGAAAUAUAAGUUAAACAACCAACAAAAAAACGUUAAAACAAGAUCAACAUAUUGCUUUUGCUAAUCAAAGUGUCAAAUAUUUAAAACAACAAUUAAUUGAUGAAGAGGCUACCAGGAAACAUAUAUCUUUAAUGGAAAUAUAAACUGACACUAUCUUACUGAUUAGCAUUUUUGGGCAAUAUGUACAAAUAUCUAUUGGUAAUUCCAUGCCUAGAAUUUAUUCUCAGAAACUGAACAGACAUUUAAAGAGGCCUCCUUAAAGAUGUUCUCCUUUUCUGUUAUAAGAGUGAAAAAUUGGAAAUAAUCCAAAUGCACCAAAAUGAGAGGGAAUAAAUCAUGGUAUCCUCUUUACAAGAGAAUAUAAUCCAGCGCUUGAAGUGAUGUUCCAUCAUAAUGGCAAAGCGUUUACAUGUAUGGGAGAGUAACCACGUGGUGUUAAGAAGGUCAGUUGGAAAUGUGUGAAUGAACAGGUCAGAAGCCAACAGAAUGCUGGAACUGGGAGAGAUUUAGGGAUCAUUUAAUCCCCUAAUCUCACUCCAGAGAUAAGGAAUUCUGAGCUCAGAUAGAGAAAAUGAUCUGCCUAAGGUCAUCUGGGAUAUUAGUUCCUUCCUUUAUCCCUCAACCCCCUACUUGCCAGGAAGAUGACAAUAGCAGCACCUGCUGAUAUUUACUGGAGCUGAGAGCUGGAUACUGCGAUGAGUCUAACCUGCAGCAUCUUUUUUAUUCCUUACAACAACUGUAUCCAAAAGAGAGAAAGAGGCUGAAGAUACAGGAGUGGGAGAGGAUAAUUAGUAAUAUUGGGUACCUGAGAGGUGGAUGAUGGGGAACGAGGGCACAGGUGAUGUGAUCAGCCUUUGGCAACAUAAAAAAGCCUCCUUUUCACUGCAGCGAACAGAGGAUACAGAUAGGUUUGUAGGCUCUACUUUCUCUGUUAAGUUUGAGAGGUAACUGACAGUGGGUGAAGAUAUCUAGGUGAAGGGUUUGAAAAUAUGGGGAAUAUUUAAAAUAGCUACAGUUGAGAACAGACAGAACAGCUCACCAUGGCCUUUCACAAGGACUGCCAGCUGGUGCCACAGGCCCCCCUGAGGGAGGACCUGGAAACUACAGAGGCACAAAUCUGACCAUGACAUAAUCUUUUCCAUGAAAUCACUCUCAGCCUGGCUGUAAAAAUGGAGAAAUGCGUAAACAGAAAUAAUGACUUAGGCUAGAAAACACUCAGAAUUCGGAAUGGUAAAUGUGUGUUUUCCGUAAGAUUGGUGAGACUAGAGAGGAUAAUCAAGUUUAGAUGGAUGUUGUGUGAUUUAAUCAGAAGCUUUAUAAAAUAUCUUAGGUUCAAAAAAUAAGUUUAUACACAACUAUCCCAAGGAAAAAGAGACAGGAGUUCUUUGAGAAGACCAGCUCAUUCUUUGUUAUUUUAUUUUUUUUUGUGGGGGGCAUACAGGGAUCUUAAUUCUGGAAGAAAAUUAUUUAAGGACUCAGUCUUGAGCUUCUGUAAUCAGAUUUUAGGACGAGCAACACUUUUCAGUAACUGAUCUCCAACCAGGCAUGUGGGCUGGGAUUCUGCCUAAGUACAUGCCCUCUGACUACUCGUGAGCAGCUGUGUAAGAUGCUAAGAUCUCCUGCCUCUGAGAACUCUUCAUUCUGUCUAGCUGUAUCUGCAGCAUGAGAAAGAAAUUCGUCUUUCUGAAAAUGCCUCAGAAGAUGGAAGAGAAACCGACAUGGGGAAGAUGAGAGAAAGUUAUCUGAAUUCAGGCAAACCUUGAAAACUGAGAAUGACUGAUGAUCUAUGUGGCACAAAUUACUCUGGAUGAAUUGCUUUCUCUUUCUGCACUUUCCUGAAAACAAAGACACUGUCAUCCAGGGAUUGUAUUGGUGGGAUCAAAGCACACCACAACCUCAAACUCCUGGGCUGAAAUGAUCCUCCCGCCUCAGCCUCCUGAGUAGCUACGACUAUAGAGGCGCCAUGCCAAUGUGUAUGAAAGAGGUCUUCCUGUGUUGCUGAGGCAGGUCUUGAACUCCAUUCCUCAAGCAACCCUCACGCCUGGACCUCCCGCAAACCCCUGGAAUUACAGAUGUGAGCCACGACUCCUGGCCUAAUACUAAUUUAGUGAUUGUAACUAAAUAGCAAGAACUGCAUUAUAAAAAUAAUCCUUAGGUAAAAUUAUGCAUUUAGGUGAGUCUCACUCCCUUAACUACUUCAAGCAAAUACUGAUAGUAUUUUACAUUGCACCAGCACUUACUUAUAAAACAUUUUAAUGUAACUAACUCAGACAACCCUAUGAAAUAGGCAGGGCACAGGAAUCUGCAAGUGGAUUGCGCAGCUGGCUAGUCAGUGACGGGACAGCAACUUGACUCUGGGUCUUCUGACUUAAGUAUAGCCUCCAAUAAGCUAAAAAAAGCCUUGGUUGUUCUCUAGGUCAGAUCAACUAGGUAGUUUCUAAAGACCAUUAAUAAGCAUAUAUUGCCUAAAAUCAAAGUGAUUUUUUUUUUAAUUAGCUGAGGUGAGAUUAAGUAAAUGAUUAACUUCUUUUUUUUUUUUUUCGAGAUGGAGUUUCGCUCUUGUUACCCAGGCUGGAGUGCAAUGGCGCGAUCUCGGCUCACCGCAACCUCCGCCUCCUGGGUUCAGGCAAUUCUCCUGCCUCAGCCUCCUGAGUAGCUGGGAUUACAGGCACGCGCCACCAUGCCCAGUUGAUUUUUUGGUAAUUUUUAGUAGAGACGGGGUUUCACCAUGUUGACCAGGAUGGUCUUGAUCUCUUAACCUUGUGAUCCACCCGCCUCGGCCUCCCAAAGUGCUGGGAUUACAGGCGAUUAACUUCUUAAGUUAGUUCCGAGUAUUGUGGCUCUAUUUCUUCUUGGCUAAUUAGACUAUAAACUUUGAAGUAUGUGUUAAUAUCCUUUACUUCCUAAAAAGUUUGUUUUGCAAUUAUGAUAAUUUCCAUACUAGUGAGCUCCCGUGAUUUCCUAAGAUAUUACUCUGAAAUAAAAUGAAAGGCAAUUAUUUUCAUUCUUUCUAUAUUAGUGGAACAGGGAUGAUAACAAAUCAUUAAACAUAAAAACUAUCUUUAAGAUCUUCCUCUAUACUGUUGUCUUGAUUUUAUAAAAACUGAGUAAAAAAGACUUGCUAUAGUCAGUCUAUGACAUCCUCCAUGUACAGAGAAGUAUGUGAGGUGUUAUGAAGAGAAAAUGGAUAUGGAUGCUACAGUUUCCACUCUCAAGAAACUUAAAUUUUAUUGGAUAUUACCACACAUAAAUAUGGUAUAUAAUGUUAGAAAGUGAUAUAUUAUAAAAACAAGUUGCAUAUAUAUUAAACUCAUUUUUUGAAAACAAAAUCAAAUGCAGUCUGUGUGUGCGCACACACAUGCAGGCUUAGAAAAGGGGUAAAAUGAGAACACCAAUUACCUUUGAGUUUGAGGUGAUAAGGGAGCACACGGACUUAUGUGAGUGGGAAAAGACUGUUAAUUCAUACAACUCAAUGUGAGGACUUGCAUUUUGGACCAUGACAGUAAUGGACUAGACAUCCUGUUCAAUCCUAUACAUACAUGAGAAACUGGAUAAUAUAUAUGAAAUAAUGGUUCUCAGACUCUGGACGACAGGCCGCCUCGGGCAAUAAUUACCAAGAGAAGGGAAGCAAAUAAGGUGAGCCCUGUUACUUACUGUCCCAGUACUGUCUGUAGAGGGUUUCUAGGCCACAGUGCAGGGAGAUGGAUCCUUAACAAAGCCUGCUGGUCUCACUGAGUUGUAGAGACAGAGCUGACAGUGGAAGGCCAACAAAGUAGCUAGAAUUUGUAGGGCAAGAGUUUAGGGGAGAAAAGAGCUAUAAAGAUAGAGAGCGAGACAGAGACACUUCUAGGAUAUAUAAGGAGUUUUCCCUUAACUCUUCAGCUGCAUGUAAAGAAAUGACCUAUGGCCAGUAAAAGAAACACUGGAAGUCAGCAAGACAAGUCUCAGAACUCCAUAGGUCUGGGAAUUCCUUACACUACCAACAAGUAGAACAGAGAAACCUCAUAAUACAUGGGAUGCUGCAGUGAGUACUUAGAAUGGUAUUGUCUCUUUGGUGCAGAAAAAUGAAAAAAACUCAUGGCUGUCCAUGUCUUGCCUAAUAAGUUUAAAAGCAAGCCUUGAAAAUAUCACAGUUUCCAGUAGCUUCAUUGCAUCCCAGAAUAAAGCUCAAAUAUUUAAGGGAAUAACAAUAACAAAAAACCCCAGCACCAAUGUAACACAAUGUCUGGCAUCCAAAAAAAAAAAGUCAGGCAGGUAAAAUAUGAUUUCUAAUAUCAAUCAAUAUAAAAAGACCCAUAUAUGACAUAGGAUAACAUUAGCAGAUAAUGGUAUUAAAAGAGCUAUAAUACAUGUUCCAUGUUCCAGAAAUAAAGUAUGAGCAUGUAAAGAAGACACAUAAGAGACAUUUAAAAACCCCCAAACUGAACAUCUAGAGGUAAAAAAUACAAUAUCAGAGAUACAAAUACAUUGGAUGGGAAUUAUCAGAUUAGACAUUGCAGAAGAAAAGAUUAUGAACUUGAAGACAAAACAACAGAAAAUUUCCAAACUAAAAUACAAAAAGACUAAAAAAAAAAAAAAAAAAAAAAGAAUGGAGAAUUAGUGAAUGGUGAGAUACCUUCAAAGGUCAUAAUAUUCAUGAAAUUAGAAUUGGGAAGGGAAAUAUUUGAAGAAAAAUGAACUACAAUUUUCUAAAUCUGAUGCAAAUCAUGACCUACAGAGCCAAAAAACUCAAAGAACCAUUCCUACACACACACACACACACAAAGUAUACAAAGCCACAUCAAUCAACUGCUUAAAACAAAUGAUAAAAAGAAAACCUUAAAAGAAGCCACAGAAAAAAGACCUAUCAUCACAUUUUGAGGAACAGAGAUAACAACAGCAAAAUUCCUGUCAAAAACAAUGCAAGUCAGAAAACAGUAGACAAUGUAUUUAAAUUAUUGAAAGGAAAAAAAAAAAAAAAAAACCACUGGUCAACCGAGAAUUCUACACUUAGGGAAGUUACCUUUCAAAAAUGAAUGAAAAAACAAUCUUUUUCAGAAAUAUCAUUUAAUGAUGUUGGAAGCUUUUAUAAGUAUGAACAAUUCUUAAAAAUUCAAAAAUUUAGCAAUAUUUCACAAGUGUAACAAAUGUGAUGCAAAUAGGAAUGAAUGUAGUAGGAAUGAAGAGCAGUCCGGUUUAGGGGCAUGAAGUGGAAGAUGUGGAGAUGGUAUUGUUAUUUCUUUAACAGGGAAAGGCUCACCAAAGAUGAAGUUCAUGUGACGCCAUGGAGAAGAAAAAAAAGAGGUCUUGAAUAAAAGCAGAGUUAAAAUGCAUAUGAAAGAUAAUAAGCCCCUGAAGAUUUUUGAAUAGACAGAUGAGAGAAGUAGUAAUUGUAGACUUUUUAGUAAAUCAUACAUGAUAAAAAUAUAUAGUCAAAGCCAAACUCAGGAAAGUUUGAAAAAAUGUCAUCAUCGUUUCAGUUUUUUUUUUGAAAGAGAGUCUCCCUCUGUGGCCCAGGCUGGACUGCAAUCAAAUGAUCUCACAGCUUAUUACAGCUUCAACCUCCUGAGUUCAGGUGAUUCUCCCACCUCAGCCCCACAAGAAGCUGGGACUACAGGCAUGCACCACCAUGCCUGGCUAAUUUUCUGUAGUUUUAGUGGAGACAGGGCAGUGCCAUAUUGCCCAGGCUGGUCUCAAACUCCUGAGCUCAAGCAAUCUCAAAGUACUGGGAUUACAGGAGUGAGCCACCAUGCCCGGCCCAUAGUUUCGAUACUGAUGGGAGGCAUCUAUCUUCCUUAGGGACAAGGACUCCUCCAUUUAAAGAUCAAAGGGAUGCACAUCUGAAUGAGAUCCAUCUCUGCCUGCUUCCAACCCCUUAUCAUUUCCUUUGGCUCAUUUCAGCAUCUUCGUAAUUUGUUGCUAACUAAAACAGAUUCCAUAAUUAUAAUUAGAUGCUAGAGCAAUUCUUCACAUAAGAGAAAAAAAACAGAAGUUUUCCAAGAUGAAAGUUGGUAAGAUGAUCUUCAGAUUAAUUUUUGAGUCUACAAUAUCCUAUAAUUUAAUGCAUGUUGGUUUUCAGCUCUUUUCUAUCUGUUGCCUACAGAGUAGAAAUCUGGGAACAAAGAGUCUCCAGCAUCCAGUGAACUGAAAAUAAAAGCUUCAUACAGAUAAGAAAUUAUGAGGUCCCUUUUAUACUGUCUUAAUAAAGUAUCUAAACAAUUCAAUUAAAAAUGUAGUGACAAAAAUCAGAAAGGUACUACUCACCGUUACAAUCACCAAAAGGAACCUAGAACCACUGAGAAUUUUCUAAAGUCAGAAGAGUAAGGCCAAUAACUAACACUACCUAAAAUAACCAGGAGAGGGUAGUGUAAGACAUUCUUAACUUCUGCAUCUCUUUUAUACAGAAGAGCUCUGUGUGUGAACUUCGGCAACCACCCAUUUAAAAAAUGUUUUUAGGCCGGGCGUGGUGGCUCACGCCUGUAAUCCCAGCACUUUGGGAGGCCGAGGCGGGUGGAUCACGAGGUCAAGAGAUCGAGACCAUCCUGGUCAACAUGGUGAAACCCCGUCUCUACUAAAAAUACAAAAAAUUAGCUGGGCAUGGUGGCGCGUGCCUGUAAUCCCAGCUACUCAGGAGGCUGAGGCAGGAGAAUUGCCUGAACCCAGGAGGUGGAGGUCGAGGUGAGGUGAGAUAGUGCCAUUGCACUCCAGCCUGGGUAACAAGAGCGAAACUCCAUCUCAAAAAAAAAAAAAAAGUUUUUAAAAAAUACCUUGGUAAUCAUUUUACCUUAUCUUGCUCCACACCAGGCUCUCUGUACACAGUCCAUUUCUGCCCAUCAUCACUGUACAGGACUCUGUAGGCAGACACAUAGUAAUUGUGCUCCACCAUGGUGGAUCCAGUAGUUAUAAUGCCUGGGAAAUUAAGAGUUGCUUUCAUUAAUGCACAUGGUCUGAUUCCUUAAGUUUGUUCAGCAUUAAAGCAUAAACACUUGAGAUGCACAACUCAAACAUUUCUGAUUACGGCUCACUUCCAUAUCCAAGUGUAUGUUCAUCAUAACAACUACUAAAUCCUUGGCUUUAUUCCCGUGGAUAGGAAGAAUAAUGGGUGUGCAUAAAGAACUAUUCUAUUUUGGUGUCUUGUGUUUAUAUAAUCAUAAAAUAGAUUCUGACUACUGAGUAAGAUGACUUCCUGGGAAUGAACAGAUAAAAGAUAAUUAUUGGUAUUACUUACAGUACCCAAACAAAAUAAAUAUUUUAACAAAAUUAUCUAAACCAAUCCCAACCAAUUAUUCUGACCAUUUGUUAGGUGGCCCUAAAUUAAAUUUAUACUCUGCACAUGUGGAAAACUGGUUAUCUUAUCCCUUAAAAUGGACUCCUUUAACAUAAAUUUCUCUUAAUGACUAUAAGAGACUGCUAUUUUAGAUGUCUCAGGACCACUUUACUGAAACACCUCCUUAAAAUAAAAGUCUCAUUACAAUGGAGACAAAAAGCUAUUAUGAGUUAAAUACUGUGAUGGUUAAGACAUAGUGUCAACUUGAUUGGAUUGAAGGAUGAAAAGUACCCUUGCCGGGUAUGUCUGUGAGGGUGUUGCUAAGGAAAUUAUUAACAUUAGAGUCAGUGGCCUGGGAAAGGCAGGUCUACCCUCAAUCUGGGUGGGCACCAUCUAAUCAGCCACCAACACGGCCAGAAUAAGAGCAGGCAGAAGAACGUGGAAAGACUAAACUGGCUUAAGUCUCCCGGCCUGCAUCUUUCUCCCAUGCUGUAUGCUUCCUGCCCGGGUACAUCAGACCAAGUUCUUAGCUUUGGGACUCUUGGACCUUGGACUGUAGACUGAAGGCUGCACUGUCAGCUCCCCUACUUUUGAGGUUUUGGCACUCGGACUGGCUUCCUUGCUCCUCGGCUUGCAGAUGGCCUAUUGUGGGCUUCCCUUUGUGAUCCUGUGAGUCAAGACUCUUAUCUUUAUUAAGAUAAACUCCCCUUUAUAUAUACAUCUAUCCUAUUAGCACUGUCCCUUUAGAGAACCCUGACCAACACAAAUAACACAAAUAACUUUUCUCUGCCAUGUUUCAUGAAAUGUGUCUCCAAUAAUAUUAACAUCAGUGAAGAAAACAUAAAACCAUAUAAUUAAAAUUUUAGUGCCUUAACAGUUUUCCAAAUAAAUUCAGCAUUAUAAAUUACUCUAGAAAAUUGUAUCUCUUAACCUGUUAUUUUCUUUUCCUUAUUCAGAUCUAUUUGUAACCACUGGUAUUCAUCAGUGACAAAAGCAGCCCAAGGCGGUCCAGGUUUUUUCAGCCUGGCUUUUUCGGGUUUCCAACUGUUCUCUUGUCCUGUGUGGUCAGUCCACUCCAGCACAGAUGAUGCUGUUAUUUGAGGAUCUGCGAUCACACCAGACUCCAUCCCCAGGGUUCCAUAACAACCUGAAACAAAAGACUAAAUGUGGUUUUCAGGUGUAAUUUCAAAAUGCAUAUUAGACCUGCUCACUGCAAACUUUCUAUUCCAACUUUAAUUAACAUAUACUAUGCAAUAAUACACUGUAACAGAGAAACUUCAAAACUAGGCAAGUGUUUCUUGGGCAUAUGUUUUGUGUAUCAUUAGGAAACCUACAAGCAUGCACAGUUACAAGCAUGCCUGUGAGUUUAAUGGUGAUACAUUAUCUUCUCCCUGGGACACUCUUCCCAAAUAACUGAGUAACUCACUCCUUUACCUCCUUCAAGUUGUUGGCUUAUGUCACAUUCUCCCUGAUGCCUUCCCUGACCCAACUUCAAACCCGUCCUCCUUUUUUAUGUUCCUACAUCUUUUAGCGUAUUAUAAACAGUACAUUAUAAAAAUGAUUUAUUCUUUGCUUAUCAUUAAUCUUUCACUACUAAAAGGUAAGCUCUAGGAAGGCAGGACUUUGUUCACUUUAACUCUGCUUUAUCACUCAAACCAGAGCAAUGCCUGGCACAUAAAGAAGGCACUCAGUAAAUAUUUUCUGUUGAAUGAAUUGAUUACUUCUUCAGACAAGUUCAAAAGUAAUCUUUCUUAAGGAACCUGCCUUGCUUACAUGACCAUUUCUCUAUAAAUAUAAAGCUUCUGAUUUGUUCUAUUCAUCAUAUUAUCAGGUAACUAUCUUACCUCAUAGUGUUAUUAUGACAACUGAGAAAGUACAAUAAAUCAGCAUUUGACACAGUGCCUGACAUACAGCGUUCAAACAAUAUUAAUUAUAUAAAUAAAAAAGUAUAAAGGCUUACCACUUGUCUUAAACGUAAAAAGACUUGCAGAUAAGUGUCCCCUGAAAAAAAGAAUUUUUUUUUAGGUGAUACUCACAUAACACAUGACUGCCCAUAUUUAGUGAAAUGUUUUCUUUUGAUUUGGUUCCCCCCACCCAUCAAAAGAAUCAAGAAGACUAUAUGGCUAAAAAUUAGACAACUAAUAUUGUUCCUAAGGGAAAAAAGUCUCAUUUCUAAGCAGGACAACUUCUGAAAUCAGCAUAAACAACUUUCUCUACCAGUAUCUAGCACCUAGAUAUGUGAUUGUACAAAUGUCUCUAUGUAGCCUUUAACAUGUACUUACUUCCAUUUCUUUUUCAUAACAUAUUUACUCAUUGUUUACUGUAAAUCUCUCACUACUUUAUUUCAUGAAAUAAAUGGAUUCUUAACACUUUUCUGUGGCAAAUGCUUUUGAUGAAAAUACACUAAAAGGUCUAAUUCUCAGAGAAUGAGGCUCAAGUUUUUUGGGGUAAACAGAAGAAAAGUUGAGUACUAACAGGGAUUUCUUUCUUUUUUUUUUUUUUUAGAAGAAAUUAACAUGUCAUGGAACAAGUUUCAGUGUAUACUCCUGCCUUUAGUCCAACAUUCAAACCAUUACAAGAGGAUGGAACUUAUCCCUGUUUUCUUUAUUAAAGUAUGAAAGAGAAUUCACACACACUAAAUCUUUCUAAAGGUAUAACAUAGUAAAGGAAUGAAAGGGUAUGCAUAAAAUAAUCUAGGAAAAAAACAAAAGAAGAAAACGUAGUUGAGUCUAUACCAGGAAUGGGCAAAUGACUGCCCAUGCAUGGCCUGUUUUGUAGGACCAGCGAGCUAAGAAUAAGGAGCUAUAAAUAAAACAAACAAGCAAACAAAAAUAAGCUGCAGAGAUAUAUGGCCUGUAAAGCCUAAAAUGUUUAUUAGCUGGAUCUUUACAGAACAAGUUUGCUGAAUCCUGCUGUAUACCAAUCUGGUUAUGAAUCACGCUCGUGUCUUCUCAAUGAAAACGGGCCUAGGACCACUGACGAAAAGCGGGCUUCAGUUAGGCUUAGUGUUGUCUGAAAGACUGAGCAUAUCUAAGAGACAAGAUUUACAAAAACAGAUUGCUAACACUGCAUUUCUAUUUAAUGUUUCAACUUCUCCUGCUUUUGACGCCUACUUUAUGUUUUGUAAAACAGUAGUACGUUGUAGAUACCAUGAAAAUAUAUCCUUAAAAUAUUCUCUUAGAAUGAGAGGAAGAUUCACAAUAAUGCUUAUGAUGUAAUACUUUAUGUCAAAUUUAAAUUUAUAUUUAAAGUAUUUCAGUUAUCCUGAAACUGAAUUUUCCAUGUGUUAUAAGGAACACAGUAGUUAAGCCUUUUGAUCUGUAAAAUAAAUAAGGAUUUGGCAACAAA